ACUCCUACGGGAGGCAGCAGUGGGGAAUAUUGCACAAUGGGCGCAAGCCUGAUGCAGCCAUGCCGCGUGUGUGAAGAAGGCCCUUCGGUUGUAAAGCACUUUCAGUCGUGAGGAAGGUGGUAGUGUUAAUAGCACUAUCAUUUGACGUUAGCGACAGAAGAAGCACCGGCUAACUCCGUGCCAGCAGCCGCGGUAAUACGGAGGGGUGCGAGCGUUAAUCGGAAUUACUGGGCGUAAAGCGCAUGCAGGUGGUUUGUUAAGUCAGAUGUGAAAGCCCGGGGCUCAACCUCGGAAUUGCAUUUGAAACUGGCAGACUAGAGUACUGUAGAGGGGGUAGAAUUUCAGGUGUAGCGGUGAAAUGCGUAGAGAUCUGAAGGAAUACCGGUGGCGAAGGCGGCCCCCUGGACAGAUACUGACACUCAGAUGCGAAAGCUGGGGAGCAAACAGGAUUAGAUACCCUGGUAGCACAGAG
rnacentral:rRNA from 1 species